AUUUUGACGAAAGCGGACGCUACGUCACAUACAAUAAUAAUUCUAGAACCAGUUUGUAGAAAAUUUUACGUUCGCUCGCCCAUAUAACAUUCUCGCUGCAGAAAAAUUAUACGUCCGUGAACGUGGAGCAUCGCGAUAACAAUGACUUCAAAUAUUUUAGAAAAUAUUUACCUUUUACCGUUGAGUACGCGCAGUGUCACUAGCACGAUGAAAUUAUCAUAGUUCAAAUUUGUAUAAUAGCAUAUUCACCACUGCACUGUUUAAAAGCACAAAAACAGUUUUUUCGGUUUUACAUCACGCGGAGUCACGAACGCGGUGGAGAUUGAAAACAAAAUGGCGAAAUUUAGUGUCGAAGGGGCUUGCGCAGUAAUCGUCCUAAGUGCGAGUAGGAGAUAAAUAUCAUUCGGAGCUCUUGCUCUAACAUGGAUUGCACCGGGUAUGGGGACGGUUGGCGUCUAGACAUUGCGCUCUGCUGCCCUCUAACGAGUGGCCUAAUACCUAAGCCUUUCAUUAAUUCUUUGAAAAUAGAACGUAGCGGACGCAAUGCACGGUAACAAUAAAUUUAUUUAUCUGUCUUCAUUAAACGAUUUUCUCUUGUC